rnacentral:rRNA from 1 species
ACGGGGAGCACCACAACGGGUGGAGCUUGCGGUUUAAUUGGAUUCAACGCCGGGAAACUCACCAGAUAAGACAGCUGAAUGAUAGUCGGGCUGAAGACUCUACUUGACUAGCUGAGAGGAGGUGCAUGGCCGUCGUCAGUUCGUACUGUGAAGCAUCCUGUUAAGUCAGGCAACGAGCGAGACCCACGCCAACAGUUGCCAGCUCGUCCUCCGGGAUGGUGGGGACACUGUUGGGACCGCCUCUGCUAAAGAGGAGGAAGGAAUGGGCAACGGUAGGUCAGCAUGCCCCGAAUUAUCUGGGCUACACGCGGGCUACAAUGGGUGGGACAAUGGGUAUCGACACCGAAAGGUGAAGGCAAUCUCCUAAACCCAUCCGUAGUUCGGAUUGUGGGCUGCAACUCGCCCACAUGAAGCUGGAAUCUGUAGUAAUCGUGUCUCAAAAUGGCACGGUGAAUAUGUCCCUGCUCCUU